UGGGCUAUAGCCAAGCGGUUAAGGCACGGGACUUUGACUCCCGCAUCGACGGUUCGAAUCCGGCUAGCCCAGCCA
rnacentral:tRNA from 3 species